rnacentral:rRNA from 1 species
UACAGAGGGGGCCAGCGUUAUUCGGAAUUAUUGGGCGUAAAGGGCGCGUAGGCGGCUCUGCGUGUCUUUCGUGAAAUCCCUCGGCUCAACCGUGGAAGUGCAUUCGAAACUGCAGGGCUAGAGUCCUGGAGAGGAAGGUGGAAUGCUUGGUGUAGAGGUGAAAUUCGUAGAUAUCAAGCGGAACACCGGUGGCGGAAGGCGGCCUUCUGGACAGUGACUGACGCUGAGACGCGAAAGCGUGGGGAGCAAACAGG